rnacentral:lncRNA from 1 species
AUCUCUGCGUUCUCUGACUGGAGAAGGAUGCUUCCCUUUGCUCCCCAGCGGACCUCUGGGGCCUUCUUCGGGCUCCAAGCACUCUGGGCAGGAGGACCGUUGUCCGGCCGACGUGGAAAGGCUCCUUGAACAACAAAGUCUUGUCUCAUCCCAAAGGGACACAGUGCUCCUGCUGAGAAACCCUGCUGUGCCUGGGGAAGAGAGCCUGUUUCACACUGGAUGGAUUUUCCGGAAGCGUCCUCUCAUCAUUUCAAGAGGAGUUAGCAGGCAAGGGAAAGAAUGGAAGACGCCGGGUAUCAUGCCCAGUUACAUCACCGUUCCUUCCCGUCUCCCGUCAAGGAAAGUUAGCUGUCACUGCAGUGGGAGCGUGGAUUAAUGUCUGACUUACUGCAGCCUGACAUCCUCAUCUAUCUUCAGCCGUCCUGCGCGCACGAGGCAUGCUGAAUGGAAGAUGGCUUAGAAAUGAUGCGACCCACUCAGGCCACAAAGAACUUCUUAUCCACACAGCAUUUGGCCAAAGCCCCGGGGCUCUUUUGGAUUCAAGAUGGGGGGAAAAAUUAAAUAAACUGGAGAAUGAUGGAGUGGAAGGCAUGAAAAUUACAGCCUGCAUUUGAUUUUGUGAGCCUUCCUUGGCGUUUCCGUUUGGACAUGAAGUAAUGUUUCCUGGAGUCCUGUUGACAUUUGCCACCGCACCCUUUGCCAUGGCUUAAAGAGGAAAAGUAAUUGACAAGAAUAAAACUUAGAUCUGGAAAGGAAUUCAUUUUUUAAAAUAUUUUUUUUCCAUCUUCUUCUGUAUUUAUUUGUUGUUUUCCUUUCUAGCUGGGAAAGUAUAUGAUUGAUUUGCAUUAGCACUGACUCCAUGCCCUGGGAAGAGGGAACUGAUGAGCAGAAACUGCUCCAUACAACUGUCUCUGCAUGAGCGGAGAGCUGUCAUGUGUGGGGAAGGCGAGAUCCACCCCCAGCACCUCUAAGGUUCAGAAGCGGGACAGAAGCAGAAGUUACAGGAAGACAGAAUUUACCUUUGUGUGAGGCAGUGCUCUGUAGCCCUGAGGCUACUCCAAGAAGGCCUUUCCUGGGUCUGGAGAGACUGGGUUCAGGGGAAGAAUUCCAGCCCAGGCAGCCUGACCCUCUGCUCGGCUUUGGCAGAACAGACACUGCGAUCGGUAGGGGGUUAUGGUGUUUACUUGUGCAGGGUGAUUCUUCAGCCUAGGAGUCCAUGGUUAUAAGCAGUUUGGUUUCACCGUUGUUGCUUUUCUCAAAAUCGGAACAUCUCUCUUUGAGUCAAUAGACAAUAUCAAAUUAAAUGUUUGCUGUAUUAUUCUUGGAAUGAAUGUUAGUAUUAAAAUAUACAAAGGGAGUUCCUGCUUCGCUGCAACAAGAUUGGUAGCAUCCCUGGAGCGCUGGGACAUGGAUUCAAUCCCCAGUGAGGCACAGUGGAUUAGGGAUCUGUCACUGCCACAGCUGGCGUAGGUUGCAGCUGCAGUGUAUGUUGCAACUGUGGCUGGGAGCUGAUCUCUGGCCUUGGAACUCCAUGUGCCGUGGGGCAACCAAAAAAGAAAAAAUGAAAAUAAAAUAAACAACAAAUACUAUCGAUGUAAAAAGGCUGAGGUAGCCAAGACUCAAAAGAAAAAAAAAGCAGUAUACUGAAGUCUUCUAGAAGUAACUCGAAUUAAUUGGAGAAGAAUAAAGUAUAUUUUUCUCACGCUGUUG